rnacentral:tRNA from 1 species
GGGCACGUAGCGUAGGGGUUAUCGCGCUCGCUUUGCAUAACGAUGAAUUGACAUGUUGCGAGAGGUCUCCGGUUCAAUUCCGGACGUGUCCA